rnacentral:rRNA from 1 species
CUACGGAGGGUGCAAGCGUUACUGGGAAUCACUGGGCGUAAAGCGCGCGCAGGCGGCUAUUUAAGUCGGAUGUGAAAGCCUACGGCUCAACCGUAGAACUGCAUCCAAAACUAUUUAGCUAGAGUGUGGGAGAGGAAGAUGGAAUUAGUUGUGUAGGGGUAAAAUCCGUAGAGAUAACUAGGAAUACCAAAAGCGAAGGCAAUCUUCUGGAACACUACUGACGCUGAGGCGCGAAAGCGUGGGGAGCAAACGGGAUUAGAUACCCCAGUAGUCC